UAAUACGUAGGUGGCAAGCGUUGUCCGGAAUUAUUGGGCGUAAAGCGCGCGCAGGCGGCUUCUUAAGUCUGAUGUGAAAUCUUGCGGCUCAACCGCAAGCGGUCAUUGGAAACUGGGGGGCUUGAGUGCAGAAGAGGAGAGUGGAAUUCCACGUGUAGCGGUGAAAUGCGUAGAGAUGUGGAGGAACACCAGUGGCGAAGGCGGCUCUCUGGUCUGUAACUGACGCUGAGGCGCGAAAGCGUGGGGAGCAAACAGGAUUAGAUACCCUGGUAGUCCACGCCGUAAACGAUGAGUGCUAAGUGUUAGAGGGUUUCCGCCCUUUAGUGCUGCAGCUAACGCAUUAAGCACUCCGCCUGGGGAGUACGGCCGCAAGGCUGAA
rnacentral:rRNA from 1 species